UGUUGUCAGGUCACUCGUCAGGACCUGACAUUCCAUCAAAAUGGCUCACCUUCCACCUUCCCCUGCUGGACCCCAGCCCCAGCAGCUGGGCCACAGAGGGGUCCAGCAGGUACCCGUGAAUGCUAAGUGACGUAACCAAAGUAAAUCCUCUUUUGCGCCGUUCCUGUGGCAAGCCUUUGCCAACCACGUCACCAGCACGAGCUCACAUCGCUCCACAAUAACCCCAGGAGGAAUGGACAGCCAUGCUCCUCACCUCCUGACGAGAGCUCUGCAAAGUCACCUACGCUGUACCUAUGUGACCCGCGGCUGUGAGGCAGGACUCGGGUCUAACACACUGGGCCCCACAUCCCUGCCUGGCGCCUGGAUGUGACUCUACCUCGCCAGCUGGGCUCAGCUUCUCAGGUCAGAGACGUGUGACCCAGAAGGCCUCAGAGUCAUCCAACUCCAGUCUCAAGAGUGAACAGCUGGCUGGGUUCCGUCCCAGGACCAGCGAAGCAAGUGAGCCCCCGACUCGCGGACGGCAGGCUCCCCCCCAUGCUUCUCUGCAGUAGUACCAAGGCGCUCUGCCCUUGGCUUCCAAGAGUCAAGGCCUAUGGUUCCUUCAAGCUCCUCCUCACGGCCUCCUCUGCACCCCACUCCAUCGGACCCGUCCCCUCACUGUAAAUUAUCCAACCUGCCGCACACUAAAACUCUAGAAUGCCAGCACAGAGUUGCACGCUCAUGACGUCACCACUUCUCUGUUUCUUAAAAUGACAGCUUGUUUCCUGAGGAGCUGGGAGCUCCAUGAGGAAAGAGACUGCCUCGGCUUCCGCGCUUUACCGCUCCUCAGAGGCCCUGGAAUGUGCAGGACACCCAGCAGACUCUUAGCCAAUAUUCGCUAAAUGAGUAAAAUUGACAAUGGCUUUCCGUCCCACAAGACAAAUUUCAGGUGUUCCUGAGGCCACCAAGAAGAGAUGACAUCAGAGGGAGGCUGCUCGCAGGAUAGCCAUGUGCAACCAAUCAAGGCCAAGAGCAGAGCAAGACGGCCUCACAGACAAGCUCGGCAGGGUCUCGGGACCUAACUGGAGGGGAGGGAAUCAG